UGCAGUCGAACGGCAGCAUAGAGAGCUUGCUCUCUGAUGGCGAGUGGCGAACGGGUGAGUAAUAUAUCGGAACGUGCCCAGUAAUGGGGAAUAACUAACUGAAAGGUUAGCCAAUACCGCAUACGACCUACGGGUGAAAGCAGGGGAUCUUAGGACCUUGCGUUAUUGGAGCGGCCGAUAUCUGAUUAGCUUGUUGGUGGGGUAAAAGCCUACCAAGGCAACGAUCAGUAGCUGGUCUGAGAGGACGAUCAGCCACACUGGAACUGAGACACGGUCCAGACUCCUACGGGAGGCAGCAGUGGGGAAUUUUGGACAAUGGGGGAAACCCUGAUCCAGCCAUCCCGCGUGAGUGAAGAAGGCCUUCGGGUUGUAAAGCUCUUUCGAAAGUGAAGAAAACUUAUUUCGUAAUAUGUUAUAAGUAUGACGGUAACUUUAGAAGAAGCACCGGCUAACUACGUGCCAGCAGCCGCGGUAAUACGUAGGGUGCGAGCGUUAAUCGGAAUUACUGGGCGUAAAGCGUGCGCAGGCGGUUUUGUAAGUCAGAUGUGAAAUCCCCGAGCUUAACUUGGGAACUGCGUUUGAAACUACAAGACUAGAGUGUGUCAGAGGGGGGUAGAAUUCCACGUGUAGCAGUGAAAUGCGUAGAGAUGUGGAGGAAUACCAAUGGCGAAGGCAGCCCCCUGGGAUAACACUGACGCUCAUGCACGAAAGCGUGGGGAGCGAACAGGAUUAGAUACCCUGGUAGUCCACGCCCUAAACGAUGUCAACUAGUUGUUGGUGGAGUAAGAUCCAUGAGUAACGUAGCUAACGCGUGAA
rnacentral:rRNA from 1 species